UAAAAAUCAGUAUGUAUCACUUGUUUCUAAUUAUCAUUAGUAUGUAUGGGUAAGAGAAAGGUAAAAGACAUUGAAUUCAUUAAUUUCCUUUUGGUAAUAGUGUGUCGUCUUAUGACAAAUGAUGAGAAUGAGAAGAGGAAAAGGAAGAUGUAUGUUGUUAAAUUUCUUGAUUACCUUGCACUUCUAGCUGCUUCAACCUCUUCGCAACCAACUGCUUCAACUUGCUGGCAGCCAACUUCUUCAUUUGGAUCGUAAUAACCUAUUCCUCCUAAUCUUGCCCCAAGAGAAUGAUUAUAGUGAUGAUGAGGAGACAUGUAUAUGUCCAACCCAAAAAUGUCGUUCAACUUGAAAUCAUCAUGUCCUAUUCAGUUAUUGCUUUACAACAUCAAGAAUACUAUGCAGUGUUAUUUCAUACUCGUUGUAUUUGUUGUUUGUCUCCUUACACUUAGCUUCCUGAUUGAGGAAAAUC
rnacentral:lncRNA from 1 species